rnacentral:rRNA from 1 species
GAUGAACGCUGGCGGCGUGCCUAAUACAUGCAAGUCGAGCGAACCACUUCGGUGGUGAGCGGCGAACGGGUGAGUAACACGUAGGUCAUCUGCCCAUCAGACGGGGACAACGAUUGGAAACGAUCGCUAAUACCGGAUAGGACGAAAGUUUAAAGGUGCUCCUGGCACCGCUGAUGGAUGAGCCUGCGGCGCAUUAGCUAGUUGGUAGGGUAACGGCCUACCAAGGCGACGAUGCGUAGCCGACCUGAGAGGGUGAACGGCCACACUGGGACUGAGACACGGCCCAGACUCCUACGGGAGGCAGCAGUAGGGAAUCUUCGGCAAUGGGCGAAAGCCUGACCGAGCAACGCCGCGUGAAUGAUGAAGGCCUUCGGGUUGUAAAAUUCUGUUAUAAGGGAAGAACGACUUUAGUAGGAAAUGGCUAGAGUGUGACGGUACCUUAUGAGAAAGCCACGGCUAACUACGUGCCAGCAGCCGCGGUAAUACGUAGGUGGCGAGCGUUAUCCGGAAUUAUUGGGCGUAAAGAGCGCGCAGGUGGUUGAUUAAGUCUGAUGUGAAAGCCCACGGCUUAACCGUGGAGGGUCAUUGGAAACUGGUCAACUUGAGUGCAGAAGAGGGAAGUGGAAUUC